GGAUAACCUACCCUUAGGACCGGGAUAACCCUGGGAAACUGGGGAUAAUACUGGAUAGGCAAUUUUUCCUGUAAUGGUUUUUUGUUUAAAUGUCUUUUCGCCUAAGGAUGGGUCUGCGGCCGAUUAGGUAGUUGGUUAGGUAAUGGCUUACCAAGCCGUUGAUCGGUACGGGUUGUGAGAGCAAGAGCCCGGAGAUGGAACCUGAGACAAGGUUCCAGGCCCUACGGGGUGCAGCAGGCGCGAAACCUCCGCAAUGUGAGAAAUCGCGACGGGGGGAUCCCAAGUGCCAUUCUUAACGGGAUGGCUUUUCAUUAGUGUAAAGAGCUUUUGGAAUAAGAGCUGGGCAAGACCGGUGCCAGCCGCCGCGGUAACACCGGCAGCUCUAGUGGUAGCAAUUUUUAUUGGGCCUAAAGCGUCCGUAGCCGGUUUAAUAAGUCUCUGGUGAAAUCCUGCAGCUUAACUGUGGGAAUUGCUGGAGAUACUAUUAGACUUGAGACCGGGAGAGGUUAGAGGUACUCCCAGGGUAGAGGUGAAAUUCUAUAAUCCUGGGAGGACCGCCUGUUGCGAAGGCGUCUAGCUGGAACGGUUCUGACGGUGAGGGACGAAAGUUAGGGGCGCGAACCGGAUUAGAUACCCGGGUAGUCCUAACUGUAAACGAUGCGGACUUGGUGUUGGGGUGGCUUU
rnacentral:rRNA from 1 species